AUUGAACGCUGGCGGCAGGCCUAACACAUGCAAGUCGAGCGGAUGAAGGGAGCUUGCUCCUGGAUUCAGCGGCGGACGGGUGAGUAAUGCCUAGGAAUCUGCCUGGUAGUGGGGUAUAACGUCCGGAAACGGGCGCUAAUACCGCAUACGUCCUGAGGGAGAAAGUGGGGGAUCUUCGGACCUCACGCUAUCAGAUGAGCCUAGUUCGGAUUAGCUAGUUGGUGGGGUAAAGGCCUACCAAGGCGACGAUCCGUAACUGGUCUGAGAGGAUGAUCAGUCACACUGGAACUGAGACACGGUCCAGACUCCUACGGGAGGCAGCAGUGGGGAAUAUUGGACAAUGGGCGAAAGCCUGAUCCAGCAAUGCCGCGUGUGUGAAGAAGGUCUUCGGAUUGUAAAGCACUUUAAGUUGGGAGGAAGGGAAGUAAGUUAAUACCUUGCUGUUUUGACGUUACCAACAGAAUAAGCACCGGCUAACUUCGUG
rnacentral:rRNA from 1 species